rnacentral:rRNA from 1 species
UACGAAGGGUGCAAGCGUUACUCGGAAUUACUGGGCGUAAAGCGUGCGUAGGUGGUUUGUUAAGUCUGUUGUGAAAGCCCCGGGCUCAACCUGGGAAUGGCAAUGGAUACUGGCAGGCUAGAGUGCGGUAGAGGGUAGUGGAAUUCCCGGUGUAGCGGUGAAAUGCGUAGAGAUCGGGAGGAACACCAGUGGCGAAGGCGGCUACCUGGACCAGCACUGACACUGAGGCACGAAAGCUAGGGGAGCGAACGGG